ACGGGAGGCAGCAGUGGGGAAUAUUGGGCAAUGGGCGAAAGCCUGACCCAGCAAUGCCGCGUGAAGGAAGAAGGUCUUCGGAUUGUAAACUUCUUUUAUGAGGGACGAAGGAUUUGACGGUACCUCAUGAAUAAGCCACGGCUAACUACGUGCCAGCAGCCGCGGUAAUACGUAGGUGGCAAGCGUUAUCCGGAUUUACUGGGUGUAAAGGGCGCGUAGGCGGGGAAGCAAGUCAGAUGUGAAAUCCAUGGGCUCAACUCAUGAACUGCAUUUGAAACUGUUUCUCUUGAGUGCUGGAGAGGUAGAUGGAAUUCCUAGUGUAGCGGUGAAAUGCGUAGAUAUUAGGAGGAACACCGGUGGCGAAGGCGGCUUGCUGGACGAUAACUGACGCUGAGGCUCGAAAGCGUGGGGAGCAAACAGGAUUAGAUACCCUGGUA
rnacentral:rRNA from 1 species